GAUGAACGCUGGCGGCGUGCCUAAUACAUGCAAGUCGAGCGAACGGACGAGAAGCUUGCUUCUCUGAUGUUAGCGGCGGACGGGUGAGUAACACGUGGAUAACCUACCUAUAAGACUGGGAUAACUUCGGGAAACCGGAGCUAAUACCGGAUAAUAUUUUGAACCGCAUGGUUCAAAAGUGAAAGACGGUCUUGCUGUCACUUAUAGAUGGAUCCGCGCUGCAUUAGCUAGUUGGUAAGGUAACGGCUUACCAAGGCAACGAUGCAUAGCCGACCUGAGAGGGUGACCGGCCACACUGGAACUGAGACACGGUCCAGACUCCUACGGGAGGCAGCAGUAGGGAAUCUUCCGCAAUGGGCGAAAGCCUGACGGAGCAACGCCGCGUGAGUGAUGAAGGUCUUCGGAUCGUAAAACUCUGUUAUUAGGGAAGAACAUUUGUGUAAGUAACUGUGCACAUCUUGACGGUACCUAAUCAGAAAGCCACGGCUAACUACGUG
rnacentral:rRNA from 1 species